AACGAACGUUGGCGGCGUGGAUUAGGCAUGCAAGUCGAACGGGCCGCAAGGCCAGUGGCGCAAGGGUGAGUAAGGCGACGGUAACCAACCCCGGGAUUGGGUAUAGCCGCGGGAAACCGCGGGUAAUCCCCAGCGACGCGACGACGCCGGCAUCGGCGUCUCGCCAAAGCUCCGGCGUCCCGGGACGGGCUGUCGUGGUAUUAGCUUGUUGGCGGGGUAACGGCCCACCAAGGCUCUGAUGCCUACCGGGCGUGCGAGCGUGGCCCGGCACACUGGGACUGAGACACUGCCCAGACUCCUACGGGAGGCUGCAGUCGAGAAUCUUCGGCAAUGGGCGCAAGCCUGACCGAGCGACGCCGCGUGGAGGAUGAAGGCCUUCGGGUUGUAAACUCCUGUCGAGGGGGGAAAAAGGCCCCGCAAGGGGCUUGAUUGAUCCCUGGAGGAAGCACGGGCUAAGUUCGUGCCAGCAGCCGCGGUAAGACGAACCGUGCGAACGUUAUUCGGAAUCAUUGGGCUUAAAGCGCGUGUAGGCGGGUCCGUGCGUCUGUCGCUGAAAUCCCCCGGCUCAACCGGGGAACGGGCGCGGAUACGACGAGCCUGGAGGGGCAUAGGGGGACCUGGAACUUCCGGUGGAGCGGUGAAAUGCGUUGAGAUCGGAAGGAACGCCCGUGGCGAAAGCGAGGUCCUGGAUGCCUACUGACGCUGAGACGCGAAAGCCAGGGGAGCGAACGGGAUUAGAUACCCCGGUAGUCCUGGCCGUAAACGAUGGGUACUGGAUAGGGGGCUCGCCGAUGGGCUCCCUGUCGUAGGGAAACCGUGAAGUAC
rnacentral:rRNA from 1 species